GAUGAACGCUGGCGGUAUGCUUAACACAUGCAAGUCGAACGGACUCUUCGGAGUUAGUGGCGGACGGGUGAGUAACGCGUGAGAAUCUGGCUUUGGGUUCGGGACAACCACUGGAAACGGUGGCUAAUACCGGAUGUGCCGAGAGGUAAAAGAGAAAUUGCCUGAAGAUGAGCUCGCGUCUGAUUAGCUAGUUGGUGAGGUAAAGGCUCACCAAGGCAGCGAUCAGUAGCUGGUCUGAGAGGAUGACCAGCCACACUGGGACUGAGACACGGCCCAGACUCCUACGGGAGGCAGCAGUGGGGAAUUUUCCGCAAUGGGCGAAAGCCUGACGGAGCAAUACCGCGUGAGGGAAGAAGGCUCUUGGGUUGUAAACCUCUUUUCUUAGGGAAGAACAAAAUGACGGUACCUAGGGAAUCAGCAUCGGCUAACUCCGUG
rnacentral:rRNA from 1 species